UCAUGAUAGUCUUUGGUUUAGGGAUUGGUAACAUUAUAGUAUUGUUUGUAUUUUUAGGAUUAGAUUUUGGAAUCUUAAUUUUUUAAAAUCAAAAAAUAAAGUUGACUCAUAUGUGUUUAAUUUUGUGUAUAUUAAACACUUUAUAAGUUAAUUAUAUGUUUAAUGAAGUGUUUGCUGCUAUUUAGUUAUUUAUUUGGUUUUAUGGUUUAGAAGACUUGAAGACUUUUACGGAAGUCUUCUAACAUGUAAUGCAUUAGAACAUUUACUGGGAAGUCUGCUCAAACGAAUAGCAAAUUUGGGGUUAGAAGACUGCCCUAGAAUUUUUGUCUACUUAAAUAAAGAAAAUUUACACAUUAUCUUUUUUUUCAUAUCAAAUAGUUGCAACAAAAAUGUAAUGUUUUUCACUCUAAAACUCUCCAACCUCUCUCUAAUCUUUUUGAACUUGAAAAUACCAAUAAAUCUAGUUUUCAUUCUUCUUAUGUCUUUCUCACUAAUUUAUCUUGUUUUUCAGAUUUUUCAUUAUAUGCUUCUCGUCUUUCACUCUUUCAAAAGUAGAUCUAUAAAUUUUGGAUUCUAUUUUUGUGUGUUUUAUAUGUUAUAUUCUAAAAAGCUAUAAAUCAAUCUAAUGUGACUGUUUUGUUUAUUAUUUAAGCAUAAACAAAUAUUUUUAAAUUUUUCUCUGUUUUGAAGUCAUUUGAAUGUUUUGAAUAUGCAAAGUUUUUCGGAUGUGAAUCAGACUUUUGAAGACUUCUCAUAAGACUCUCGGAAGACUUCUCGGAAGACUUCUUGGGAAGUCUUCUAAUGUAUUUUAUGCUAGAAGAGUUCCCAAGAAG
rnacentral:lncRNA from 1 species